CCUACGGGAGGCAGCAGUGGGGAAUAUUGCACAAUGGGCGGAAGCCUGAUGCAGCGACGCCGCGUGAGGGAUGACGGCCUUCGGGUUGUAAACCUCUUUCGCUAGGGAAGAAGCCUUCGGGUGACGGUACCUGGAUAAGAAGCACCGGCUAACUACGUGCCAGCAGCCGCGGUAAU
rnacentral:rRNA from 1 species